UGGGCUUGACAUGUUCCUGACAGCCGUGGAAACACGGUCUCCCUUCGGGGCAGGAUCACAGGUGGUGCAUGGCUGUCGUCAGCUCGUGUCGUGAGAUGUUGGGUUAAGUCCCGCAACGAGCGCAACCCCCGUCGCAUGUUGCCAGCAUUUAGUUGGGGACUCAUGCGAGACCGCCGGUGACAAACCGGAGGAAGGUGGGGAUGACGUCAAGUCAUCAUGCCCCUUAUGUCCAGGGCUACACACGUGCUACAUUGGCGCGUACAGAGGGUUGCGAUACCGCGAGGUGGAGCGAAUCCCUUAAAGCGCGUCUCGGUUCGGAUUGCAGGCUGAAACUCGCCUGCAUGAAGGCGGAGUUGCUAGUAAUCGCGGAUCAGCACUGCCGCGGUGAAUACGUUCCCGGGCC
rnacentral:rRNA from 1 species